CCGCCGCAUCCUCAUUUCCAAUCUCCCGCUUCCGCAGCACCUCGCCCUCGCCUCCUCCUCCUCCGCCCAAACCCUAGCUCCCCGUCUCACACCCACCGCCGCCCGCCCAAACCUGCUCUGCGGCAUUUCCACGAGCACCUCGCGCGCCGCUCUCCUUCUCCUCGCGCCCCGCCCUUGCUCGCGAUGGCCAACACCAUCCGCAAGCUGGCCCUGGAGGCGCUAGAGAUCCACAACGCGGGCCACCACGACCUCGCGCUCGCCUGCGCCAACGAGCUCGCCGCCGCCAACCCGCGCUCCGCGCUCGCUCUCAACCUCGCCGGCACCCUCCACGUCCGCGCCUCGGCCGUUCCCUGGAACGAAAUGGCCACCGCCGUAUCCGCGUCCUUGUCCGCGUCGGACCACUACCGCGCCGCCCUCGCCGCCUUCUCCGCCGCCGCCCGGAACGCGCCCAACUGCGCCACGACCGCCGUCGCCCACGCCGAGGCGCUCGCCGCCAACCGCCGCCUCUCCGACGCGCAGGCGGAGCUGUUCCGCGUCUUCAACCCCGGCACCAUCCACGCCGACCCGGCGGACCACCUCGUCGAGGUCGGCGGCGGCCACAACCCCAGGGCGAGGACGCGCGACGCGCUGGGCAAGGCCGGCGCCGCCCUGUUCGAAGUAACGGCCAUCAUCGACAACAUAAUCGUGCCCCGAGAGGCCGGGGAGCUGCUCUUGCUUGGCGGGGACGCCCCCGCUGCCGAUCAAGUGCGAGCGCGCGCGAAGCGUCUCGCCGAGCGGUUCCCGUACUCGGCGCGCGCCCGCUUGCUCCGCGUCUACCUUGAACUGGAAGGAGUCCCCGCCCUCGACCUCGCGGCCGACAGGAGGCGGCUCCUGCGCCGCGCUCUCGCCCAGGCCUCUGAAGCGGCGGCUCACUUCGCCGACUCCAUCCUCAUCGCCCUGUUCCACGCCAAGGUACUGUUCGCCCUGGACGAGUUUGAUGGGUCGGAGAGGGAGUGCCGCCGAGCGCUUUGCAUCCAGGAGCCGACUGACCCCAAUUCGGAGGACAUACCUCCUGCUGUGUCUGUUCCUGGCGCGGACUGCGAUGCCAGAGUAUCUUCUGUCAGGAAGCAGCUCCGCGUCUUGCUCAAGCAGAUCGUGGUUGCGGCUGCCGUAUGCUGGUGCUCUAUCAAAGCCACGCAACACCCCGACAGGGCCAGAUCAGGGAGGGUUGACAGGGUCUUAUCAGUGAGGGUUGACACGCUGCAGGGGCACUACGAUAGAGUCGACAAGUCGGCAGCCAAGACCAUAUCUGAUGCACUGCGCUUUCGCAAGCAGCAGGGUUCAUGGAGUUUCUUGGUUUGCCCCAAUCACCGCUGCGAUGGCAAGAAGUUUGUGGACACGCAGUCGCUCUGGCAACACAUGAGCAGCAAGCACCGAGACGAGCUCUGGAAGAAGCUGCAGUCAGUUUUAGGUCCAGAUCUCUAUGAAGAUACACCAAAGCAUGAUCACUUGUUGGAUGGGAUAACUCUCAGUCAGGAUUCAGAGCAGCAUGACAUCUUCCACUUACCAAGGGUGCAAGAUAUUUUUGAAUCCUUGCUCCUCUCACCAUCUAUUGGGAUCCAAGCAGAACCCCUUGCUGAAAUGCGACAGAGGAAAUCCAGAGAAGGAGCCAAGAUCCUUGAGAACAUUAAGGAGGAGCUGAGGAUGUUGCCUGAAGAUAGCACUGAGUUUGAGGAGUUUCGUUUUGCAAUCCAGAACUUGUGGCUUGAGUUCCUCGAAACUUCUGCUCUCGAUUAUCGUGAAAUCAUCCUCCCACUUGCGAGAUCGUUCCAAUGGAUACAAAUGAAAACAGUGAUUGAUCUUUCUGCAAAGGAUCUUGGUACGAUUAUUGGUUGUGCCAGUAUCGACAUUGUAUUCGGCAAAGUUCCCGUUGCCCCUGGCAGGAUUGUUUCUGUGGAACAUGGCUCAGAGCCGUCACACGCCAACAAUACUGACCAUCAAAGUGGUGACGACACACAGACAGAAAACAUACAGCCAUCAUGCUCAGACGAGACACUUAAGGAUGGUGAAAAACCUGAAGAAAGUGAGGUUCGUAUUGUAGAUAGCAAUUCUGAGACCACGGUAGACCAAAGAUCUUCGGAUCCAAGACUUGACGUUCAUGAAAGCGGGCUGAACUGUGCUGCAAGAAUUGCAGAGGUGGAACUAGAAAACAAAGAUAAUAUAGGAACUUCUGGCCAAUCUGUCAAGGAAAUGGCAAGCACCUCCAGCUGUCAACGAAGUCUUAAUGCUUUCAACAAGAACAAUGCUGAUAAAGGCCUGUCUAUCUUGAGUCUAAUCAUACGGUCAUUGUGCAAUCUGAGGCAUUUCAGAGAUAAGUUUCUAACUGAGCCACUUGCAUGGAUCCCGUCUGCUGAGAAUAUCUGUAUUGCUCAGCAAUUAUAUGAAAUUUUCAUAUCUUGGGAGAAAAAUGACUACCACUUAGAGGAUGUUGUUCUGACUUACAUGAAGACCCUUCUCUGCAGAGUAGAUUGCACCCUUUUUUCUGAAAAGUUGCAGGUUGGGACAAAUUUUUCAUCUGAGAUUGUGGCCACAAUUCUCAUUGGAUUGCAUAUGUCAGAAACUUGUUCACGUUUUAGUUUAAGAAAGGAGACCGAGAAACAUGUGGUGAACCCAAUCACGUGUGGAGAUUGCAUAUGCCCAACACAUAGUCUUUUUGGGAUAACAUUUAAUGUGCAAAUGAGUUGCAAUUGUGGGGAGUGUUCUGGUGAAUACCCAUAUAGUGCACUUUUCCAUAUACUUGAUGCUGGUUCACUUCAAACAACAAAGAUCAAGUCCUUUGCAGAGCUUCCGGUUCUAUUGGAUGAACAGUUCUAUAAGGAGAACAGCUGCGAGCAUUGUGGAAUUCCGCAGAAGAUUGAUCUAUUUCUUUCAAACGCACCACACUUCUUUACAAUAGUUUUGAAGUGGCUUGGUAACAGUGAAAGCCCGGACACACUCUCUGAAGUCCUGGCCGACAUCACAUCCCCCCUUGACAUUGAAUUCUUUUGCAAAAGUGCUCAUUCUGGAACUAUGUAUAGUGUCACCUCCAUGAAAAUGGUCUCAUCGAAUCACAUGGGGUGGUUGCACAACAUUCCUGCAAAUCAUAUCUAAAUAUCUGAUAGGAGUGGCUGGAUUAACCUUUUACUGCUGUCACUCUCCUGCUGCUUUCAGUUUUACUUCAGGCCUAUGCAAGGUUUGUUUGAUGCACUAGUUACCUAAUUUUCUUGCUUAUUAUUCUGCAACAUUCUUUGCAAAUACGAUGCAAGUUAGCAUUCAUCUUAUGUCACCUUGAAAUCCAAACUCUUACAGAUUUGCUAUGUUGAUGAGCGCUAUGUCUGCUUUGCUCGCGACAAGGACAGGUGGCUCAUACAUGAAUUUGAGACUGUCGAGACAGAAGAUACUUGGGAGCAUUUGCUAGAACGUUUCAGGGACUGCAAGCUCCAGCCUGAAGUUUUAUU